rnacentral:rRNA from 1 species
CCUACGGGGGACAGCAGUGGGGAAUAUUGCACAAUGGGGGAAACUCUGAUGCAGCGACGCCGCGUGAGUGAAGAAGUAAUUCGUUAUGUAAAGCUCUAUCAGCAGGGAAGAAAAUGACGGUACCUGAGUAAGAAGCCCCGGCUAACUACGUGCCAGCAGCCGCGGCAAUACGGAGGGGGCAAGCGUUAUCCGGAUUUACUGGGUGUAAAGGGAGCGUAGACGGGAGUGCAAGUCUGGAGUGAAAGGCUGGGGCUCAACCGCCGGACUGCACUGGAAACUGUACGGCUGGAGUGCAGGAGAGGUAGGUGGAAUUCCUGGUGUAGCGGUGAAAUGCGUAGAUAUUAGGAGGAACACCAGUGGCGAAGGCAGCUUACUGGACUGUAACUGACGUUGAGGCUCGAAAGCGUGGGGAGCAAACAGGAUUAGAUACCCCGGUAGUC